GACGAACCACACAAGCGUUAUUCGGAAUUACUGGGCUUAAAGGGUGCGUAGGCGGCGCGGAAAGUAGGGUGUGAAAUCCCUCGGCUCAACCGAGGAAUUGCGCCCUAAACUACCGUGCUCGAGGGAGAUAGAGGUGAGCGGAACUUAGGGUGGAGCGGUGAAAUGCGUUGAUAUCCUAAGGAACACCGGUGGCGAAAGCGGCUCACUGGAUCUCUUCUGACGCUGAGGCACGAAAGCUAGGGUAGCGAACGGG
rnacentral:rRNA from 1 species